UGUGAUGUUUGUGAGAGAAAAAGUGAAAUAAUUAUGAGGUUGGAUCUGAUAUUUUGUUGUAUUCGUUUUUUUGAUUUUGUAAAAUUUUUGCGUUGUAGUGGAAAAAAUAAAAAAUAAAUGCCAAAUCCAAGUUAUUUUCUUGGUUUAUUUGUGUUUAUUCUUCUAGAAAUUUACCCAAGUCAGAAAGUUAAUUAAAUAUUUUUCUGGGAAAACAAGCAAACCUGACACGAAUAUCUAGCAAAAACAUAAUUUAGAGUUUGAUAAAACAUCUUUUUGUAUGUUGGUGUGUUUGUGUUAAUUCUUCUAGAUAUUUUAACAAUUGGUUUUUACUCUUUCCAAGUUAGAAAUUUAAUUUCAUAUUAUAAUGCUUUUCAUGGAAACAAGUAGACAUAAAUAUCCAACAAAAACAUAAUUUAGAGAUUGAUUUUGCAUGUUGGUGUGUUUGUUUUAAUUCUGAUUCGCAAGUGGUCGACUGAUAGGUUGAUGUAACUUGGGGUCCUUGUAUAUACACAGAGACUAGAGCAAUUUGGUCACCUGGUUAAGCCACUCUUCAUCUAAUCGGUUAUCAUUUCAAAGGUUUGGGAGACUCAACUGGGAUGAGAGACAUGCCCCCUCAAUCUCCGGGUUUACUUGGAAGUUGGAAGUUUUGAUGGCAUGAGUGGAGUCGGAAAAAGAAACUAAGCAAAUAUGGCAAAGAAACAAUUCGAACUUGCAAUAUUGAGAAUGAGUCACAGCUCAAGUGAUCAAAUGGCUCUUCGCAACCUAGCCGACCAAAUAACUCUUCACAACUAAACUCGCCAAAUGAAACUUCACAGCCUAGUCAAUCGAAUGGCUCCACACUCUAGUUGGUCACAUCCCUCACAUGCUCCCUCACAGGUUCUACAUCCUCAACCUCAAGAAUCAGAGAUUAACCCUCACUUUGAUGAUGAUUUAGAUGAGGACUGGUUAAGGGAAGAAGAAAUGCAUUGUAUAGGUAUUAUUAGAUUUUUAGUCGAGGUACAAACUAUUAACCCUCACUUUGACGAUGAUUUAGAUGAAGACUAGUUAAGGGAAGAAGAAAUGCAAUGUAUAGGUAUUAUUAGAUUUUUAGUCGAGGUACAAACUAUUAACCCUCACUUUGACGAUGAUUUAGAUGAAGACUAGUUAAGGGAAGAAGAAAUGCAAUGUAUAGGUAUUAUUAGAUUUUUAGUUGAGGUACAAACUACAAGUCAACCUUCACUUCCACGAUUUAUUUCAUUGUUGUUUUGUAAUAGGUGAAUUGACCAAGCAAAACACACGGGAAAUUACACGUAUGGUCGAUGUGUGGAAUCUGGUUCUAGAAGAACACAUUAGGCUCACCUUCAAUAGGAUUUGCAGGUUGUUUCUAAAGAGGUUGGUAUAUUCAAUCGCUUCGUAAGCACUGUUGCUAGGAAGCCACACUUAUGCCCAAUCAAGUACAAGAAUUGGCAUGAAGUGCCAAUUCCGUGUAAAGAAAUUUGUUGGAAUAUCAUCGAGGUAAUAUUCUAACUACAAGUAUUUUGUGAUAAUUGUACUAUAAGAGAGAGAUCACAUGCAUGUGAAAAAGACAAUCUUACAUGCUAUUGCAGUUGAAGUAAAAAAUUUAUGAGAAUUAGGCAAAGAAAUGCACAAAUUAAGUUUAUAUUGAUGUAUUGAUAAUUCUAAGAAUGUUCAUAACAUGAAAAAAAAAUAAUUGUAGUUCAAGUUUGCCAUUCCUCAAGAUGAGAGAAGGGAUAUGAUUAGGCAUCAAACAUUGAAGUCAAUGGGUGAGAAAUGGAGAAAUUGGAAAUGUAGUAUAAAAGCAAAGUACUAUGAUGAGACAAAGAUAGAAGCACAUAUAGUAGCUACUGCGCCUUUUAACGGUUAACCAUGAGCACUAUGCUGACCUUGUCGUGUAUUGGUUUUCAAAGGAAGGACAGGAACUUAGUACGACCAAUAAGGAAAGCUGGCGAGAGCAAACAAGUGCACAUACAGCAAGACCUAAAACUUAUGCACAACAUGCAUAUGAUAUGGAGUAAAAAGGUAAGAUUGCACUAGAUCGAGCAAAAUUAUAUAUACUGUUUCACAAAAGGAAGGAUGGGACACCAGACAACGAAGAGGCUGCUACAAAAAUUAAAAAAACUAGAAGAUUUGAUGAGGUCACAAUCAAGUAGCUCCGAAGGAAAUGUUAGUGGACGUAUAUCUUGGUCACCAAAUGAUAUUUAUUCUCAAGUGAUGGGUAAAGGUACAGAGCGUCAUGGUCGUGUUCGAGGUUUAGGAUUUGGGCCCAUUCCUUCCAAUCAUGGCUUCAUGUCUAAUAGUUGUGACCACUUAGGAAUGGCUUCAAAUGAAGAGAGACGAGAGACAAACAUUAUAACUGAGUUGAAGGAACAACUAAAAACUCAAGUUGAUUAGUUGCAAACUCAAGGUUUUCAAUUGCAUGCUCAAGAUGCUGUAAAAAACGCUUUAAAAGAGCAAGUAGCAUUUUUUAUGAGACAGAGAUAUAGUUCUGGUGGUUUGCAGGCGACAUAUGGAUCUAGUGGCAUUCCGGACUAGGCUUCUCCACAAACACACCAGAGAUCCUCUUUUGGGAGUCAUGAAAUGCAACCUUUUAAUCGGGGGGGUUUACUACGCUAGAGUAUGCUUUUUCUCUUGUUAAUUAAAAGGGGUUUGAAUGAUGGUUGCAACCAAAAUAACCUGCAAUGGCCUUAAAUUGGCUGGCAUGUCUGUCCUCUGUCACUGAUGAUGAAGGUUCAGUGACUGAUGCUUGUGGUUUUGGAGAAUCUGGAUAGGAGGGUAGUGGUGGUAGAGUGACUGUUGCAUUGCAGUCAUCAAUGGAGCUUGGGGUUGGCGGGGAUUUCAAGUGUGAGAUGUUUGGUCAUCCCUUGCCCUAUUCCGAGGCCUGUUUUGGCUGAAAUGAUCCACCCCUGUUUUCAUCCCGAAGGCAAGGAAACAGGACAAUAUAAAAGCAUCAAAAUAGAAAUCGUUUUUUAUUGCAGGAAAUAGGACAAUAUGAAAGCAUUAAAGUGGACAUCGCUUCUCGAUUUGAACAUUUUUUUAUGAGUAAUACUUUGAAUUACUAUUGUCAUGUGACAAGUUUGUAUGUACCUUUUAGAUUAUGGUGUAGCUAUUAGUUUGCUAGAAACAUUUGAUUUAUUUUGAUAGAAUAAUGCUAUAUGUAUCAAUUGAUAUACUAACUGGUGUACCAAUUGAUAAUGUGACAUAAUUUAAGAGGUUUUUAGAAUUUCUAAUGUGUCGUAACUAAUGUUGAUACACUAGUUAGUAUGUUAAUUGGUAUCGAUUUUGAUAUGACAAGCUUAUGUAAUGAACCUUUUAAUUAAGGUGUUUUGAAUAUUUUGAGAUUCUAAAAAUGUAAA